rnacentral:rRNA from 1 species
UACGUACCGGACGAACGUUAUUCGGAAUUACUGGGCUUAAAGAGUGCGUAGGCGGCUUUGAAGGUGGGGUGUGAAAGCCCACGGCUCAACCGUGGAAUGGCGCUCCAAACCGCAUAGCUUGAGGAAGACAGAGGUGAGCGGAACUGAUGGUGGAGCGGUGAAAUGCGUUGAUAUCAUCAGGAACACCCGUGGCGAAGGCGGCUCACUGGGUCUUAUCUGACGCUGAGGCACGAAAGCUAGGGGAGCGAACGGG